AUCUUGUCUGCCCGCCGCUGGCCUGGCCCCGUCUGUCUCUCUCAGCAGCUGUCUUUCUCGCGCCCACUGGCCGGUCUCUCCUCUUCCCCGCAGUUGCCUCCUUCUCUGCCUGCCUGGGUGGCCGCCAUGGGCCGGAAGCGGCUCAUCACUGAUUCCUACCCGGUUGUGAAGAGGAGGGAGGGGCCCGCUGGGCACAGCAAGGGGGAGCUGGCACCCGAGCUAGGUCUCUGAGGCGUGAGGGAGGCAGGAGGAGUGGACACGGAGGGGCCUAGAGGACGUGGGCGGAGGGGCCAAUGGAAAGGGAAAGGUGGCCUGUCCUCCCCUCCCUACACCAGGUCUAGCUGCUGGGUGGCAGAAGCAAAGCGGUGGUGAGGAAGGCUGGGAGGUGAGGGGCAGGAGACUGAGGCCAGCCUCGCCCUGAAGAGCAGCUGUCAUUGCAGGGGAGGAGCCCCAGCCCCGCGACGAGGAGGAAGCGGAGCUGGAGCUGCUGAGGCAGUUUGACCUGGCCUGGCAGUACGGGCCCUGCACCGGGAUCACACGGCUGCAGCGCUGGUGUCGGGCCAAGCAGAUGGGCUUGGAGCCUCCCCCAGAGGUGUGGCAGGUGCUGAAGACCCACCCCGGAGACCCCCGCUUCCAGUGCAGGUCAGAGACAGGCCGGGAGGGCUUUCAGGGGAGCCAGGGCCUUCUCCAGGCACCAUCACCCUGCUGUCCUGACCUGAGGGAGAAAUGGAUGGGAGGGUUGGAAGGCCUUGAUGAACAGGCAAGAAGGUUAUAUGAGGUGCCUGGCUCAGGAGGACACGCU
rnacentral:sRNA from 1 species